rnacentral:tRNA from 4 species
GCGACUGUAGCCUAGUGGUUAAGGCCCCGGCUUGUGGUGCCGGUUAUCGGGGGUUCGAAUCCCCUCAGUCGCCCCA